rnacentral:rRNA from 1 species
GUACACGCUGUGACUAGCAUAUCAAUAAGCGGAGGAAAAGAAACUAACAAGGAUUCCCCUAGUAACGGCGAGUGAAGCGGGAAGAGCUCAAAUUUGAAAUCUUAAAGGGUUUCCCUUUACGAAUUGUAGUUUAAAGAAGUGUUUUCUGUUGAGGUUUUGGUAAAAGUUCUUUGGAAUAGGACAUCAUAGAGGGUGAGUAUCCCGUAUUUGACCUUUACUUUCAACUUUGUGAUACACUUUCAAAGAGUCGGAUUGUUUGGGAAUGCAGUCCAAAAUGGGUGGUAAAUUUCAUCUAAAGCUAAAUAUUGGCGAGAGACCGAUAGCGAACAAGUACCGUGAGGGAAAGAUGAAAAGAACUUUGAAAAGAGAGUUAAACAGUACGUGAAAUUGUCAAAAGGGAAGCGUUUGACACCAGUGUUGUUUUUCUGAAAAUCAAUUAAAGAACUGUUUAUGCUAAGCUGUUUAGACUUUAUCAGCUAAUCUGUUUAGUUUUGAGCUUUUCUUUAAUGCACUUUUCAGUUAACAAGUCAACAUCAAUUUCUUUUGCUGUAAAAAAGCUUGAGGAAGGUGGCUUGAGAUUCGUCUUAAGUGUUUAUAGCCUCUUGCCUAUGCAGUCGGAGAGAUUGAGGUCUGCAGCGUAGAUCCUUCGGGGCUAAAUGCAUUUGUGCUAAGUUAUAGCAUUUUAUAGACAACUUGUUGACUAUGAUUUGUCUUGUAGCUUACUCGCUUAUGUUAUUUUACCUACGCUUAGGAUGUUGAAGAUGUAGCACAUCAU